rnacentral:rRNA from 1 species
GAUGAAUGCUGGCGGCGUGCCUAACACAUGCAAGUCGAGCGGUAACAGGAGUAGUUUACUACUUGCUGACGAGCGGCGGACGGCUGAGUAACGCGUGGGAACGUGCCCCAAAGUGAGGGAUAAGCUCCAGAAAUGGAGUCUAAUACCGCAUAUGAUCUUCGGAUUAAAGGAUUUAUCCGCUUUGGGAGCGGCCCGCGUUAGAUUAGGUAGUUGGUAGGGUAAUGGCCUACCAAGCCGACGAUCUAUAGCUGGUCUGAGAGGAUGAUCAGCCAGACUGGGACUGAGACACGGCCCAGACUCCUACGGGAGGCAGCAGUGAGGAAUCUUCCACAAUGGGCGAAAGCCUGAUGGAGCAACGCCGCGUGAAGGAUGAAGGCCCUCGGGUUGUAAACUUCUUUUAUAAGUGAAGAAUAUGACGGUAACUUAUGAAUAAGCACCGGCUAACUACGUGCCAGCCGCCGCAGUAA